rnacentral:rRNA from 1 species
GACGAACGCUGGCGGCGUGCUUAACACAUGCAAGUCGAACGGAAAGGCCCUGCUUUUGUGGGGUGCUCGUGUGGCGAACGGGUGAGUAACACGUGAGUAACCUGCCCUUGACUUUGGGAUAACUUCAGGAAACUGGGGCUCAUACCGGAUAGGAGCUCCUGCUGCAUGGUGGGGGUUGGAAAGUUUCGGCGGUUGGGGAUGGACUCGCGGCUUAUCCGCUUGUUGGUGGGGUAGUGGCUUACCAAGGCUUUGACGGGUAGCCGGCCUGGGAGGGUGACCGGCCACAUGGGGACUGAGAGACGGCCCAGACGCGUACGGGAGGCAGCAGGGGGGAAUAUGGCGCAAUAGGCGGGAGCCAGAUGCAACAACGCCGGGUGCGGGAAGACGGCCUUCGGGGUGUAAACCGCUUUCGACGGAGACGAAGCGUGAGUGACGGUAAUGGGUAAGGAAGCACCGGCUAACUACGUG